GAUGAAGAACGUAGUGAAAUGCGAUACUUGGUGUGAAUUGCAGAAUCCCGUGAACCAUCGAGUCUUUGAACGCAAGUUGCGCCCGAAGCCAGUAGGCCGAGGGCACGCCUGCCUGGGCGUCACACGUCGUUGCCCCCCCAUCUACUCCUUCGGGAUUGCGGGGGGCGGAUGAUGGCCUCCCGUGCGCCUCGUCGCGCGGUUGGCCUAAAUGCCAAGUCCUCGGCGACGCACGCCACGACAAUCGGUGGUUGCGAAACCUCGGUUGCCUGUCGUGUGCGGUCGUCGCGCAUCGAGGGCUCGAAAAAAUUGCCGGGCUUCGGCUCGACUUUCAACGCGACCCCAGGUCAGGCGGGGUUACCCGCUGAAUUUAAGCAUAUCAAUAAGCGGAGGA
rnacentral:misc_RNA from 1 species